CCGCAUCGCCCUCCUUGGGCGUUUCCUCCCUAGACUCGGGCCGCCUCAUUUGAGUGCGGCCUCUUUUUUUUGGAGA
rfam:Labrenzia alba strain CECT 5096 genome assembly, contig: 0010